rnacentral:rRNA from 1 species
UGGGGAAUAUUGCACAAUGGGCGCAAGCCUGAUGCAGCCAUGCCGCGUGUAUGAAGAAGGCCUUCGGGUUGUAAAGUACUUUCAGCGGGGAGGAAGGCGAUAAGGUUAAUAACCUUGUCGAUUGACGUUACCCGCAGAAGAAGCACCGGCUAACUCCGUGCCAGCAGCCGCGGUAAUACGGAGGGUGCAAGCGUUAUUCGGAAUUACUGGGCGUAAAGCGCACGCAGGCGGUCUGUCAAGUCGGAUGUGAAAUCCCCGGGCUCAACCUGGGAACUGCAUUCGAAACUGGCAGGCUAGAGUCUUGUAGAGGGGGGUAGAAUUCCAGGUGUAGCGGUGAAAUGCGUAGAGAUCUGGAGGAAUACCGGUGGCGAAGGCGGCCCCCUGGACAAAGACUGACGCUCAGGUGCGAAAGCGUGGGGAGCAAACA